rnacentral:rRNA from 1 species
CUUGAUUAAGUGGAACGUGUAUCAUUUCCUAGCCAUUAUACGGAUAUAUUUAUUAUGUCUUAUGGUAUUGGGUUUUGAUGCAAGCUUCUUGAUCAAAGUAUCACGAGUUUGUUAUAUAAUCGCAAACAAAUUCAUUAAUGAGAAAAUGCAUUUAUGUGUUUUUGAUUUAAUAAUUUGGUAUAACUCCAAUUACUCAGGUAUGAUCCAAUUCAAG